rnacentral:rRNA from 1 species
UACGGGGGGGGGCAAGCGUUGUUCGGAAUUACUGGGCGUAAAGGGCUCGUAGGUGGCCAACUAAGUCAGACGUGAAAAUCCCUCGGCUUAACCGGGGGAACUGCGUCUGAUACUGGAUGGCUUGAGUUCGGGAGAGGGAUGCGGAAUUCCAGGUGUAGCGGUGAAAUGCGUAGAUAUCGGGGAGGAACACCUGUGGCGAAGGCGGCCGACUGGGGCCGACCCUGACGCUGAGGCGCGAAGGCGUGGGGGAGCGAACGGGG